UGACUCUCUGUCUGGCGGGCAGACCGCUCGAAGCCUCUCUUCGUUGAGUAAAAUACGACCAUGCAGAAAUGCUGAGCGGACCAGUUGUAUCAUAACUCAGCCUCGAAGAUGAACCAAAAUCAGCAACGAGCCUGAACCAACCAAACCUGAAAUACGGGCAAGUCGGUAGAGUCAACUCACGUGCGCUGCCACAAGGCUCUCGGCCGCCGUCGCAGCAUCCACUCGUCCGAGCCCAAUCGUUGACGGUCCAGAUCCGGAAUGAACCGUGAAAUAGGAUACGAUGCGUCUCACCAACACCGACGCAGGCCGGGAUUCUGGUGCAAAAAAGACAACAAAUAGGAGGAGCAAAUCUCAUAAACCAUUCUAGGAGAAGUGAGUAUCGUUGGGUGUGCUACGAGAAGCAAAAAAAAGAAGAGAAAAAGUGCCUCCGGAAGAUGGAUGAUUCGUGCGAGUGAGAUAUUGUAUUUUUAUUUUGUAUCGUGAAACGACCUCGUAUAUAAAAUGGUUAUUUAUGGCCACAGACGGAGAGUGCCACUGAGUGAACCCGAACGCACGAAAACGAAACACUCCACACGAGAGAGUGAGUGUGAGUGCCGCCGAGAGCCACGAGUGAGCAUCAAUGGAAGCGACUGCGUUAUUUCUUGCCGGAGUUCAAAGAUAUCAAAGCGCCAGACGUCCACCGUGCCUCCAAGGAGUGAUUUUUAUUGAGCGAGAGUGUGAAUUGGUAUAAGAAUGGAAAUAAAACGAUCAAAUAAAGUUAGUGAGCGAA